GGGGCGGUAGCUCAGUUGGUUAGAGCCCAGAACUCAUAAUUCUGUCGUCGUCGGUUCGAGCCCGACCCGCCCCACUA
rnacentral:tRNA from 1 species